rnacentral:rRNA from 1 species
GUGUCAGCAGCCGCGGUAAUACGUAGGGUGCGAGCGUUAAUCGGAAUUACUGGGCGUAAAGCGUGCGCAGGCGGUUAUAUAAGUCAGAUGUGAAAUCCCCGGGCUCAACCUGGGACCUGCAUUUGAGACUGUAUAGCUAGAGUACGGUAGAGGGGGAUGGAAUUCCGCGUGUAGCAGUGAAAUGCGUAGAUAUGCGGAGGAACACCGAUGGCGAAGGCAAUCCCCUGGACCUGUACUGACGCUCAUGCACGAAAGCGUGGGGAGCAAACAGGAUUAGAAACCCCCGUAGUCC